UCCCGCCAUCGCCCGCAGAACCCCACCCAAACCCAUCGCUCGCUCGCCAAGAUCCAAGGCGGCCGCAGCGGCUGGGAGACUGGGAGGACGCGCGCGGGAGGAGAUCCAAGGCGGCCGACGAAGGCCCCGGCGGCGCCACCGGCCUAGAAGCCCGCGUCCGAUGGCGAUGAGCACUGCUAUACAGCCGAUAUUUUUAGACGACAUGCAGACGACGUUUCCCAUCCAGCCAUCAGUAUUUUGGUCCCUAAAGCAUCUGACGGUGCAAAUUAUUUAUCGGCUGCACAUCGGGCACAUAGUGUCGUGUGCAUAUUCAUUCCGGAUGGCGAUAGGAGCGAGGGCGUCGCCAGCUCGGACACCCCGCUCGCCUUCCCCGAGGGCGACGAGCACGACGAGGCGGCGGCGGCGGAGGACGAGGCCAAGGCCAGCACGCAGGACAAGUGGGCGCAGCAGCAGCAGGCCGGCCCGCCAUGGCAGUGGAGCGGGGGCGACGGCGGCUACUCCUUCAGUCGACUGCAUCUUUUUGUGGCGCUUGGUUACAUUCCGAAUCAGCUACAAAUUCCUCUCACUACGCCCAUGCCCAGAGAUUAGCCAAUAUUUGGGAGAUGAGGUGGCUCAACUAAUUGGAGACAGAACAAGAUGAAGAAGGAAAGUACGGCCACACCAGGGCGACCUGGGAGCAAGAGAUGAUCACCAUCAUCUGGGUGCUAAAGGCCUAGGGAAUUAUAACAUGGUUUUUUUAUAGAAUGGAUGCUCAUGGCGUAGCUUACAGUACCAGGCAACAUCUUCUGUUGAUUACAGUGCCAAAAACUCCAGCAGGCCGCAGGACUCCUACGUUGCUGGCGCCUGUCACUGUCGCUGACGACGCCCUGCGUCCGGCUGGCCGCCAAGGAAUCCGCCAACCCGUCCCAAUUUAGUGUCCCACAUCAUGAGCUCCUCGAAGGUGAGCAGCUGGCCCAGCCUCGCCAUGUAGCACACGGUCUUGGUAGUGGAGAUGUCGACAUUGUCACUGCGGUCGAAGGUGCGGACGGACUCGAGCAACUACGCCCGCUGGUUGAGGUGUGGAGCAUAGGGCGUGAGCACCGGCAUGAUGGUGUGCGCUAGCUCGUCGAACUCAGCGGCCCGCUGACAUCUGUGUUGAUGGCCAGCAGCAGAAGGACUCGUCGCCCGGCGGCCGCAAGCUUAGGGGGGUGGAGCAGGGCGUCGAGAUCGAGACCUGCUGGCGCCUGUCACGCCGUCACUGACUCAGACCACAAGAGUCCUGCUGUGUUCGGCGUCGCGCCCUCCACAUCCUGCAAUAGUGAUCACGAUGCCCCUGCAGAACAAGGUGCCGACGCCUGUCACUGCCCUGCGUCCUGCUCCACGCUGUGCCCAGUGCUGCCACCCUGCUCUGUGUUGUGCCCUCGAUAGGCGCCAUCCUUGGACGCCAUCUCUUCCAACGUAUCUUCAAAAAAGAUUUGUACCCUUCCAAACUGAUAUCAAUUACAUACUCAAGGCAGUUCUAGAUGUCUGCAAGUUUGUGAUCUGCAAGUAUUAUAGUCAAAAGGAUUUCAAUUAUGAUAGGCCGUAGCUUCACUUUACAUCCUCAGGUCAGUUCUAGAUGUCUGCAAGUUUGUGAUUUGCAAGUAUUAUAUGAAAAAGGAUUUCAAUUAUGAUAGUCCGUAGCUUUACUAAUCCCACUGUUAUACUACUAUGUGUGUUCACUGAUGCAUGUGUCUUCAAAUUAUGAUAGGCUGUAGCUGGAUCAAAUGAAGCAGUUUUGCCGUGUGAAUAGCCGUAAAGCGAAACAGAAGCAGCUCACAUGCGCGUCUACUUGUUUUUUUUACUUGCCGUAGCUGGAUCAUUAGCUUGAACGCAAAGCCAUCUAGUCUAUUCUCUGCCCCCAUGAUAUCUUUUCUUAAUUUGGUAGAUUGGUAGAUCAAGUUUUUGCAAGAUGACAACACCACAUGUGUAGUUGCUGACUAUGUUUAUAUCGCAAAAAUAUUAUGGUUGCAAGCAUCUACCUGUCUUAUUCUCAAGGAAGGGCCCAGCCUAUCAUUUGAUUUUAAGUUUGUUAGGAAAUAUGCAACUUGUAUUCCCAUGAGGCCAUAGGCAGAUAUAUAUACAUGUACAGGUGUGGAACAUAUGCAGGAAAUCCCUUAUAC